GAACGCUAGCGGCAGGCUUAACACAUGCAAGUCGAGGGGUAGGAGCAGCUUGCUGCUUUGAGACCGGCGCACGGGUGCGUAACGCGUAUACAAUCUACCUUUACAGAGGGAUAGCCCAGAGAAAUUUGGAUUAAUACCUCAUAGUAUUUCGAAUGGCAUCAUUUGAUUAUUAAAGUUCCAACGGUAAAAGAUGAGUAUGCGUCCCAUUAGCUAGAUGGUAAGGUAACGGCUUACCAUGGCAACGAUGGGUAGGGGUCCUGAGAGGGAGAUCCCCCACACUGGUACUGAGACACGGACCAGACUCCUACGGGAGGCAGCAGUGAGGAAUAUUGGACAAUGGGCGCAAGCCUGAUCCAGCCAUGCCGCGUGCAGGAAGACGGUCCUAUGGAUUGUAAACUGCUUUUAUACAGGAAGAAACACCUCUACGUGUAGAGACUUGACGGUACUGUAUGAAUAAGCAUCGGCUAACUCCGUG
rnacentral:rRNA from 1 species